GGUCCGUAGCUCAGUAGGAGAGCAUCUGCUUUGUGAGCAGAAGGUCCCGGGUUCAAACCCCGGCAUCUCCA